rnacentral:rRNA from 1 species
UACGGGGGGAGCAAGCGUUGUUCGGAUUUACUGGGCGUAAAGCGUGCGCAGGCGGUUUUGUAAGCCAGAUGUGAAAGCCCCGAGCUUAACUUGGGAAUUGCGCUUGUGACUGGCGUGCUGGAGUGUGGCAGAGGGAGGUGGAAUUCCACGUGUAGCAGUGAAAUGCGUAGAGAUGUGGAGGAACACCGAUGGCGAAGGCAGCCUCCUGGGCCAGCACUGACGCUCAUGCACGAAAGCGUGGGGAGCAAACAGG